CUACGGUGAAUACGUUCCCGGACCUUGUACACACCGCCCGUCAAGCCAUGGAAGCUGGGUGUACCUAAAGUCGGUAACCGCAAGGAGCCGCCUAGGGUAAAACUAGUAACUGGGCU
rnacentral:rRNA from 1 species